rnacentral:lncRNA from 1 species
AGUCUUCUACUUUUUGAGUCUUUAAAUUUGUCGUGGUCUAAGAAAGGAUCCUCAAGAUGGAUCUGAUCUGACAAGCAAACAUCUCAUUUAAAUUUCAAUAGGUCACAGCUUGUGCUUGAUCUAGUAAAGUCUUCAAAAAGAGUUAUUGAAGGUGAAUGUUAAAAACAAAUCACUUUUUAUGAAGAAUAGUGACUAAAAAUCCGUGGUCUAAAUAAACUGCGUACCCCGGUAGUCAUUUUCCUCUCUAAGGAAAUAUGUCCAAUGAAUACCCUACUGUGUAUUUUGGGGCAAGAAAUUGGGUGAUAAGACGGUGUGAUAUAGCCUUUUUUAUACCCUCUUUUAAGUGUAGAAGCUUAAGUUCAUCUAGCUAAGUUUUGAUAAUCUCAAAAUUUGUUAAAUAGUACUUCUCUUGUUUUGAAGUGAUUAGUUUGUUACAGGUUUUCUAGUUUAGGGCUAGGAUAUAGGAAUGGGCAGUAAAUUGGGAUUUGAAAUGGGAAGGAACAGUGUUAGUUCUAAACCAUCCCAGGUCUUUCUCUGCUCCCACCCCCAAUCCCUACUUUUAAAAAACUUCUCACUCCUAGUUCAAAUAAAGAUUAUAAGAGGUAAGGCAUUUCUAACCAUCAAAACCACACACUUUUUUGUUUCAUGUUAAAAGUUCCUGAGUCUCCUUUAAACAUAUUGUAAGUUUUUGUCCUUUAGUCUUUGGAAAGUCAUUACUUCUGUUUAGAGUGAAUACCACCAAAAGUUGGGUACGGUAGGCACUAGCUAAACUUUGGUCACCAUCAUGCCUGUUUAACAGUAAGAGAGGAUUCAGCGAGGACAGGGCUGAGUUACUAUUUGAGAGUCAUUUAUGUGUGCUUCUUGUCGUAGGUGCCAUGUCCUGGUUAGAAACCAUUUAAAAUCACCAAACUGGAAACUACCAGUCACCUUUUAAGGCUGUCAUAAAAAUAAGAUUAACUUUAUUUUUAUGACAUCCUUAAAAGACCAAAUUCUGUUUUAAAACUAACCAAUGUAAAAAGUCUGUUUUCAGAGUUGUAAGUGGAAAUGUAAAAUAAAGUCAAAUUAAAAAUAAUCCAUGUAUUACAAAUUAAAGAUAAUUUAUGUAUUACAUUUCCUGAACAGAUUUAAUUUUGAGCUCUGUGUGCAAGGCACCAAUGGGAGUGGUUGCUAUAGAUCUUUUAUGGAAUACAGGUUUCAGAUUGUUAUUUGCUUGUAAAUAUACACAUUAAAACCUACUUUUAGGACUCCUACUUUAAAUUUUCCAGAGAAUUUUCUCACUUAUAAAAGAUACAUUUGUAACUGUUAUUCCUGUAGUACCAUAUCCCAGUUAAGUAGUUUGCAAUGAAGGUUAAGUACUACUUACUACUUUGAUAUGACUUCUGUAGCUACCA